rnacentral:rRNA from 1 species
GGAUAACCUGCCCUUGGGACCGGCAUAACCCCGGGAAACUGGGGAUAAUUCCGGAUAACGCAUAUUUGCUGGAAUGCUUUAUGCGUCAAAAGGAUUCGUCUGCCCAAGGAUGGGUCUGCGGCCUAUCAGGUAGUAGUGGGUGUAAUGUACCUACUAGCCAGCGACGGGUACGGGUUGUGAGAGCAAGAGCCCGGAGAUGGAUUCUGAGACAUGAAUCCAGGCCCUACGGGGCGCAGCAGGCGCGAAAACUUUACAAUGCGGGAAACCGUGAUAAGGGGACACCGAGUGCCAGCAUCAUAUGCUGGCUGUCCGGAUGUGUAAAAUACAUCCGUUAGCAAGGGCCGGGCAAGACCGGUGCCAGCCGCCGCGGUAACACCGGCGGCCCGAGUGGUGAUCGUGAUUAUUGGGUCUAAAGGGUCCGUAGCCGGUUUGGUCAGUCCUCCGGGAAAUCUGAUAGCUCAACUAUUAGGCUUUCGGGGGAUACUGCCAGACUUGGAACCGGGAGAGGUAAGAGGUACUUCAGGGGUAGGGGUGAAAUCUUGUAAUCCUUGAAGGACCACCAGUGGCGAAGGCGUCUCACCAGAACGGACCUGACGGCAAGGGACGAAAGCUAGGGGCACGAACCGGAUUAGAUACCCGGGUAGUCCUAGCCGUAAACGAUACUCGCUAGGUGUCGGCCACGGUGCGACCGUUGUCGGUGCCGUAGGGAAGCCGUGAAGCGAGCCACCUGGGAAGUACGGCCGCAAGGCUGAAACUUAA